rnacentral:rRNA from 1 species
UGGUUUAGCCAUGUCACCCUGCAGUUCUUGCCUGGUUUCCCACUGAAGAUAAGAAGGGUUGAGGCUGGACAGUACCUGGACGGGAGACCUCCUGGGGAAAACUGUGGUUGCUGCUGU